rnacentral:rRNA from 1 species
GACGAACGCUGGCGGCGUGCCUAAUACAUGCAAGUUGAGCGCUGAAGGUUGGUACUUGUACCAACUGGAUGAGCAGCGAACGGGUGAGUAACGCGUGGGGAAUCUGCCUUUGAGCGGGGGACAGCAUUUGGAAACGAAUGCUAAUACCGCAUAAAAACUUUAAACACAAGUUUUAAGUUUGAAAGAUGCAAUUGCAUCACUCAAAGAUGAUCCCGCGUUGUAUUAGCUAGUUGGUGAGGUAAAGGCUCACCAAGGCGAUGAUACAUAGCCGACCUGAGAGGGUGAUCGGCCACAUUGGGACCGAGACACGGCCCAAACUCCUACGGGAGGCAGCAGUAGGGAAUCUUCGGCAAUGGACGAAAGUCUGACCGAGCAACGCCGCGUGAGUGAAGAAGGUUUUCGGAUCGUAAAACUCUGUUGGUAGAGAAGAACGUUGGUGAGAGUGGAAAGCUCAUCAAGUGACGGUAACUACCCAGAAAGGGACGGCUAACUACGUG